rnacentral:rRNA from 1 species
GAUGAACGCUGGCGGCGUGCCUAAUACAUGCAAGUCGAGCGAACAGACGAGGAGCUUGCUCCUCUGACGUUAGCGGCGGACGGGUGAGUAACACGUGGAUAACCUACCUAUAAGACUAGGAUAACUUCGGGAAACCGGAGCUAAUACCGGAUAAUAUAUUGAACCGCAUGGUUCAAUAGUGAAAGGCGGUUUUGCUGUCACUUAUAGAUGGAUCCGCGCCGCAUUAGCUAGUUGGUAAGGUAACGGCUUACCAAGGCAACGAUGCGUAGCCGACCUGAGAGGGUGAUCGGCCACACUGGAACUGAGACACGGUCCAGACUCCUACGGGAGGCAGCAGUAGGGAAUCUUCCGCAAUGGGCGAAAGCCUGACGGAGCAACGCCGCGUGAGUGAUGAAGGUCUUCGGAUCGUAAAACUCUGUUAUUAGGGAAGAACAAAUGUGUAAGUAACUAUGCACGUCUUGACGGUACCUAAUCAGAAAGCCACGGCUAACUACGUG